AGGAGGAACAGCCCCAGUGGCGGGGCCAGCUCUGGAGCCCUGGAUUCAGCUCCGGCAGGAACUCCGGAGCUCUCCGUCUGCAGGGCCCGGAGGCUCCGGGGCGGG
rnacentral:pre_miRNA from 1 species